rnacentral:misc_RNA from 1 species
GAUGAAGAACGUAGUGAAAUGCGAUAAGUAGUGUGAAUUGCAGAAUUCAGUGAAUCAUCGAAUCUUUGAACGCACAUUGCGCCCUUUGGUAUUCCAAAGGGCAUGCCUGUUCGAGCGUCAUUUGUACCCUCAAGCUUUGCUUGGUGUUGGGCGUCUUGUCUCUAGCUUUGCUGGAGACUCGCCUUAAAGUAAUUGGCAGCCGGCCUACUGGUUUCGGAGCGCAGCACAAGUCGCACUCUCUAUCAGCAAAGGUCUAGCAUCCACUAAGCCUUUUUUUCAACUUUUGACCUCGGAUCAGGUAGGGAUACCCGCUGAACUUAAGCAUAUCAAUAAGCGGAGGA